UACGGAGGGUGCAAGCGUUAAUCGGAAUUACUGGGCGUAAAGCGCACGCAGGCGGUUGGAUAAGUUAGAUGAGAAAGAACCGGGCUCAACCUUGGAAUUGCAUUUAAAACUGUCCAGCUAGAGUCUUGUAGAGGGGGGUAGAAUUCCAGGUGUAGCGGUGAAAUGCGUAGAGAUCUGGAGGAAUACCGGUGGCGAAGGCGGCCCCCUGGACAAAGACUGACGCUCAGGUGCGAAAGCGUGGGGAGCAAACAGG
rnacentral:rRNA from 1 species